AACAAACGCUGGCGGCGUGCCUAACACAUGCAAGUCGUACGAGAAAGGGUCCUUCGGGGCCUGAGUAAAGUGGCGCACGGGUGAGUAACGCGUGGAUAAUCUGCCCUUCAGUUGGGAAUAACUCAUCGAAAGGUGGGUUAAUACCAAAUAAUGCUGUGAGACCUCGGUUGAUCAGCCAAAGAGAGCCUCUGCUUGCAAGCCCUCGCUGAAGGAUGAGUCCGCGUACCAUUAGCUAGUUGGUAGGGUAAUGGCCUACCAAGGCGACGAUGGUUAGCUGGUCUGAGAGGAUGAUCAGCCACACUGGAACUGAGACACGGUCCAGACUCCUACGGGAGGCAGCAGUGAGGAAUCUUGCGCAAUGGGGGCAACCCUGACGCAGCGACGCCGCGUGAGUGAGGAAGGUCUUCGGAUCGUAAAGCUCUGUCGGAUGGAAAGAACCGCAUAGGGGUAAACAGCCCCUGUGUCUGACGGUACCAUCAAAGGAAGCACCGGCUAACUCCGUGCCAGCCGCCGCCGUAAAAC
rnacentral:rRNA from 1 species